GAUGAACGCUGGCGGCGUGCCUAAUACAUGCAAGUCGAGCGAACAGACGAGGAACUUGCUCCUCUGACGUUAGCGGCGGAGGGGUGAGUAACACGUGGAUAACCUACUUAUAAGACUGGGAUAAAUUCGGGAAACCGGAGUUAAAACCGGAUAAAAUAUUGCAUCGCACGGCUCAAUAGCGAAAGACGGUUUUGCUGUCAUUUAUAGAUGGAUCCGCGCCGCAUUGGCUAGUUGGUAAGGUAACGGCUUACCAAGGCAACGAUGGGUAGCCGACCUGAGAGGGUGAUCGGCCACACUGGAACGAGAGCACGGUCCGAACUACUGCGGGAGGCAGCAGUAGGGAAUCUUCCGCAGUGGGCGAAAGCUUGACGGAGCAACGCCGCGUGAGUGAUGAAGGUCUUCGGGUCGUAAAACUCUGUUAUUAGGGAAAAACGAAUGUGUAAGUAACUAUGCACGUCUUGACGGUACCUAAUCAGAAAGCCACGGCUAACUACGUG
rnacentral:rRNA from 1 species